rnacentral:rRNA from 1 species
AAUAGAUACCCUGGUAGUCCACACCGUAAACGAUGAGUGCUAGGUGUUUGAGGGUUUCCGCCCUUAAGUGCCGCAGCUAACGCAUUAAAGCACUCCGCCUGGGGAGUACGACCGCAAGGUUGAAACUCAAAGGAAUUGACGGGGGACCCGCACAAGCGGUGGAGCAUGUGGUUUAAUUCGAAGCAACGCGAAGAACCUUACCAGGUCUUGACAUCCCUUGACAACUCCAGAGAUGGAGUGUUCCCUUCGGGGACAAGGUGACAGGUGGUGCAUGGUUGUCGUCAGCUCGUGUCGUGAGAUGUUGGGUUAAGUCCCGCAACGAGCGCAACCCUUAUUAACUAGUUGCCAGCAUUCAGUUGGGCACUCUAGUGAGACUGCCGGUGACAAACCGGAGGAAGGUGGGGAUGACGUCGAAAUCAUCAUGCCCCUUAUGACCUGGGCUACACACGUGCUACAAUGGCGUAUACAACGAGUUGCCAACCCGCGAGGGUGAGCUAAUCUCUUAAAGUACGUCUCAGUUCGGAUUGUAGGCUGCAACUCG